rnacentral:rRNA from 1 species
GUAACCUGCGGAAGGAUCAUUACCGAGUGCGGGCCCUCUGGGUCCAACCUCCCAUCCGUGUCUAUCUGUACCCUGUUGCUUCGGCGUGGCCACGGCCCGCCGGAGACUAACAUUUGAACGCUGUCUGAAGUUUGCAGUCUGAGUUUUUAGUUAAACAAUCGUUAAAACUUUCAACAACGGAUCUCUUGGUUCCGGCAUCGAUGAAGAACGCAGCGAAAUGCGAUAAUUAAUGUGAAUUGCAGAAUUCAGUGAAUCAUCGAGUCUUUGAACGCACAUUGCGCCCCCUGGUAUUCCGGGGGGCAUGCCUGUCCGAGCGUCAUUGCUGCCCUCAAGCACGGCUUGUGUGUUGGGCUUCCGUCCCUGGCAACGGGGACGGGCCCAAAAGGCAGUGGCGGCACCAUGUCUGGUCCUCGAGCGUAUGGGGCUUUGUCACCCGCUCCCGUAGGUCCAGCUGGCAGCUAGCCUCGCAACCAAUCUUUUUAACCAGGUUGACCUCGGAUCAGGUAGAGGAUACCCGCUGAACUUAAGCAUAUCA